rfam:Triticum urartu cultivar G1812 contig977893, whole genome shotgun sequence.
UUACUACUUCCUCCGUUUGGAAUUACUUGUCGCAGAAAUGAAUAUAUCUAGAUGUAUUUUAGUUCUAAAUACAUCAAUAUCCGAGACAAGUAAUUCCGAACAGAGAAAGUACAUU